rnacentral:rRNA from 1 species
CACGACUACGAGUUUGAUCCUGGCUCAGAUUGAACGCUGGCGGAAUGCUUUACACAUGCAAGUCGAGCGGCAGCGCGGGGCAACCUGGCGGCGAGCGGCGAACGGGUGAGUAAUACAUCGGAACGUACCCAGUUGUGGGGGAUAGCCCGGCGAAAGCCGGAUUAAUACCGCAUACGACCUGAGGGUGAAAGCGGGGGACCGAAAGGCCUCGCGCGAUGGGAGCGGCCGAUGCCGGAUUAGCUAGUUGGUAGGGUAAAGGCCUACCAAGGCGACGAUCCGUAGCUGGUCUGAGAGGACGACCAGCCACACUGGAACUGAGACACGGUCCAGACUCCUACGGGAGGCAGCAGUGGGGAAUUUUGGACAAUGGGCGCAAGCCUGAUCCAGCCAUGCCGCGUGCGGGACGAAGGCCUCGGGUUGUAAACCGCUUUCAGCCGGAAGAAUACGCCAAGGCUAAUAUCCUUGGUGGAUGACGGUACCGGAAGAAGAAGCACCGGCUAACUACGUG